UACGAAGGGGGCUAGCGUUGCUCGGAAUUACUGGGCGUAAAGGGCUCGUAGGCGGCCAACUAAGUCAGACGUGAAAUCCCUCGGCUUAACCGGGGAACUGCGUCUGAUACUGGAUGGCCUGAGGUUGGGGAGAGGGAUGCGGAAUUCCAGGUGUAGCGGUGAAAUGCGUAGAUAUCUGGAGGAACACCGGUGGCGAAGGCGGCAUCCUGGACCAAUUCUGACGCUGAGGAGCGAAAACCAGGGGAGCAAACGGG
rnacentral:rRNA from 1 species